UGGGGAAUAUUGGACAAUGGGCGAAAGCCUGAUCCAGCAAUGCCGCGUGAGUGAUGAAGGCCUUAGGGUUGUAAAGCUCUUUUACCAGGGAAGAUGAUGACUGUACCUGGAGAAUAAGCCCCGGCUAACUCCGUGCCAGCAGCCGCGGUAAGACGGAGGGGGCUAGCGUUGUUCGGAAUUACUGGGCGUAAAGCGCACGUAGGCGGUUUACCCAGUCAGGCGUGAAAGCCCCGGGCUUAACCCGGGAAUAGCGCUUGAUACUGGUAGACUUGAGACCGGGAGAGGAUAGCGGAAUUCCCAGUGUAGAGGUGAAAUUCGUAGAUAUUGGGAAGAACACCAGUGGCGAAGGCGGCUAUCUGGACCGGUACUGACGCUGAGGUGCGAAAGCGUGGGGAGCAAACAG
rnacentral:rRNA from 1 species